rnacentral:rRNA from 1 species
UUGGAGGGCAAGUCUGGUGCCAGCAGCCGCGGUAAUUCCAGCUCCAAUAGCGUAUAUUAAAGUUGUUGCAGUUAAGAAGCUCGUAGUUGAAUUUCGGGAUUCUUCCGUUGGUCAGGCUAACAAGUCUGUACUAGCGUGUAGAAUCUCUACCUUCUGGGGAACCAUCAUGUUAUUAAUUUAGCGUGGUGGGAAACCAGGACCUUUACCUUGAAAAAAUUAGAGUGUUCAAAGCAGGCUUACGUCUGAAUACAUUAGCAUGGAAUAAUAAAAUAGGACGGUGGUCCUGUUUUGUUGGUUUCUGAAUCACCGUAAUGAUUAAUAGGGAUAGUUGGGGGCAUUAGUAUUCAAUUGUCAGAGGUGAAAUUCUUGGAUUUAUUGAAGACUAACUUCUGCGAAAGCAUUUGCCAAGGAUGUUUUCAUUAAUCAAGAACGAAAGUUAGGGGAUCGAAGACGAUCAGAUACCGUCGUAGUCUUAACCAUAAACUAUGCCGACUAGGGAUCGGACGAUGUUAAAUUUUAUUGACUCGUUCGGCGCCUUACGGGAAAC